rnacentral:tRNA from 1 species
UUACUAAUAGGUUAUAUAAACUGAUAGAUUGUGGUUCUAUUGAAUACUUGUUAAUUUAAUGUAAGUAUUAGUAAA